GAGUUUGAUCCUGGCUCAGAAUCAACGCUGGCGGCGUGCCUAACACAUGCAAGUCGAACGAGAAAGUCCCGCAAGGGACAAGUAGAGUGGCGAACGGGUGAGUAACACGUGGAUAACCUGCCGUCGAGUGGGGAAUAACCUUNCGAAAGGAGGGCUAAUACCGCAUAACACCCGAGGACAUAAGUCCCUGGGUUGAAAGGAGUGAUUCGCUCGAUGAGGGGUCCGCGCCUGAUUAGCUUGUUGGUGGGGUAAUGGCUCACCAAGGCUACAAUCAGUAGCCGUCCUGAGAGGGAGCACGGCCACACUGGAACUGAGACACGGUCCAGACUCCUACGGNAGGCAGCAGUGAGGAAUUUUUGGCAAUGGGCGAAAGCCUGACCAAGCANCGCCGCGUGGGUGAUGAAGUAUUUUGNUACGNAAACUCCUUUCUACCCCCAAGAAGGCC
rnacentral:rRNA from 1 species